rnacentral:rRNA from 1 species
UGGGGAAUAUUGCGCAAUGGGGGAAACCCUGACGCAGCAACGCCGCGUGGAGGAUGAAGGUUUUCGGAUUGUAAACUCCUUUGAUCGGGGACGAAGAAAUGACGGUACCCGAAAAACAAGCCACGGCUAACUACGUGCCAGCAGCCGCGGUAAUACGUAGGUGGCGAGCGUUGUCCGGAAUUACUGGGUGUAAAGGGCGUGUAGGCGGGAUUGUAAGUCAGAUGUGAAAUUCCAAGGCUCAACUUUGGAGCUGCAUCUGAAACUGUGAUUCUUGAGUGCUGGAGAGGAUAGUGGAAUUCCUAGUGUAGCGGUGAAAUGCGUAGAUAUUAGGAGGAACACCAGUGGCGAAGGCGGCUAUCUGGACAGUAACUGACGCUGAGGCGCGAAAGCGUGGGGAGCAGACAGG